CAAGCACCUCGCUAGGUGAGGCUUCUGCAAGGACACAGGCCACUGACCUUGAACGUCGAGAGACGCCCCGGGUCAGGACAGCUCUUCCCGGCUUAAGGGUUGAGCCCAAGUGGCUUCCGGUUCCACCGGAUACGCCGUGCAGUGCCGAAGCUGUGACGAGAGGGGUGCCCG
rnacentral:sRNA from 2 species